GACGAACGCUGGCGGCGUGCCUAACACAUGCAAGUCGAGCGAUGAAGCUUUGUGCUUGCACCAAUUUGAAGAGCAGCGCACGGGUGAGUAACGCGUGGGGAAUCUGCCUUUGAGCGGGGGACAACAUUUGGAAACGAAUGCUAAUACCGCAUAACAACUUUAAACAUAAGUUUUAAGUUUGAAAUAUGCAAUUGCAUCACUCAAAGAUGAUCCCGCGUUGUAUUAGCUAGUUGGUGGGGUAAAGGCUCACCAAGGCGAUGUAACAUAGCCGAACGGAGCGGGUGGUCGGCCGCAUUGGGACGGUGACAGGGCACAAACGCCUACGGGAGGGAGCAGUAGGGAAACUGCGGCCAGGGACGAGAGGCUGACCGAGAAACGCCGCGGGAGUGUAGAAGGUUGUCGGAUCGUAAAAGUCGGUUGGUAGAGAAGAACGUUCGUGAGAGUGGAAAGCUCAGAAAGUGACGGUAACGAGCCAGAAAGCGACGGCUAACUACGUG
rnacentral:rRNA from 1 species